GCAGAGUGGGAGCUUGCGCUCAUCCCUUUCAUUUUCAAGGGCUGCAGGACCCUGUGUGGGUGGAGGAACAGGAAAGGCAAGCUUGUGGUGGGCUCCCAAGCUGCCUCCAUACACUUGUCUUUGCUGAUCCUCCCUUUCCUGAGCCAGGAGGGAACUGCUAUGACUGGCACCUUUCCUUCCAGAUUUGGAGCCGUGGUAGGAACUGAGGACGUGGCCCUGCAGCUCAGAUCUGGGAGGCACAUGCCUGGGACAGGGGCUUGUGAUUACCCAAGCAGUUAUUUUGCAUCUCAGGUAACCAACCAGCACUUGAUGAUGCAAAGAGGAUGCUGCGUCUUUUGCUUCCUGUUUACCUGGGAGGAGGUGUGAAAUGAAGUGCUAACGGCAGGGCACUGGAGAAAGUUUCAGUGGUAAUGUGUUUCUUGAGGAGGAAAAGCUUUCACCUGACGCAUUUCCUUGCCUGGAUUUGAGUCACACUGUGCUAUCUUAAACCGCCCUGGUGAGUUGAUAGUGUGUUGUCACCGAGCAGAAUUUCCAGUUUCUUCAGAGGUUGGCUACUGUCCAGAUGCUCAUUGAAUAGAGACACCUGGGAUGCUUUUACCUCAUUAGAAGGAGAAUGAAUCCAUCUCGGAGUCUCCUAAGGCGCAGUCACUAAACUAAUGAUUUUUUUCUGAGGUAGUAGACAAAAGCUAAAAUUUUGGAACUUUUUAGCACUGAAAUAUUCUUUAGCCUUUCCCCAACAAAGAGUCUGCAAUUAUAAAUAAAUCAUUUGUUAAUCUUAAAAGGGUAGUUAAU
rnacentral:lncRNA from 1 species